rnacentral:rRNA from 1 species
AACGAACGCUGGCGGCAGGCCUAACACAUGCAAGUCGAGCGAACCGCAAGGUUAGCGGCGGACGGGUUAGUAACGCGUGGGAACGUGCCCAAAGGUACGGAAUAGCCUCGGGAAACUGAGAGUAAUACCGUAUGUGCCCGAAAGGGGAAAGAUUUAUCGCCUUUGGAUCGGCCCGCGUUGGAUUAGGUAGUUGGUGGGGUAAUGGCCUACCAAGCCGACGAUCCAUAGCUGGUUUGAGUGGAUGAUCAGCAACACUGGGACUGAGACACGGCCCAGACUCCUACGGGAGGCAGCAGUGGGGAAUCUUAGACAAUGGGGGAAACCCUGAUCUAGCCAUGCCGCGUGAGCGAUGAAGGCCUUAGGGUUGUAAAGCUCUUUCACCGGGGAAGAUAAUGACGGUACCCGGAGAAGAAGCCCCGGCUAACUCCGUGCCAGCCGCCGCGGUAAGAC